rnacentral:rRNA from 2 species
GUUAGCGGCGGACGGGUGAGUAACACGUGGGUAACCUACCUAUAAGACUGGGAUAACUCCGGGAAACCGGGGCUAAUACCGGAUAAUAUAUUGAACCGCAUGGUUCAAUGUUGAAAGACGGUUUCGGCUGUCACUUAUAGAUGGACCCGCGCCGUAUUAGCUAGUUGGUAAGGUAACGGCUUACCAAGGCAACGAUACGUAGCCGACCUGAGAGGGUGAUCGGCCACACUGGAACUGAGACACGGUCCAGACUCCUACGGGAGGCAGCAGUAGGGAAUCUUCCGCAAUGGGCGAAAGCCUGACGGAGCAACGCCGCGUGAGUGAUGAAGGUCUUAGGAUCGUAAAACUCUGUUGUUAGGGAAGAACAAAUUUGUUAGUAACUGAACAAGUCUUGACGGUACCUAACCAGAAAGCCACGGCAAAGUAGU